rnacentral:lncRNA from 10 species
CUGGGAAGGGUGGGGUGGUCAUGAAGUCCUGAGAGAGCAGAGGGACACACCAACUUCUCUUGUUGGUUCCCUCAACCCUGCCCAUACCUAUGGGUAAUCAGAGAUGGAUUCAGUCUCCAGUUAGGAUCCUCAUCAAGGUAUUUGUAUGGGGGAUUCCAUGCAGAUGGUGUAUAGAGAGAAGAUAGACACAAGGGAUCUUCAUAGCCAAGGACUGGAUUUGAACAAGUCAGUCUCCAGCUAUGUUUUAGACACUGAGGACUGUGCCCGUCAUCCCUUAGAGCUUCUCUCUGGGCCACUGGCUCGAAGGGCACAUCUCAGGGAAAAAGAACCCAGAAUUCACAACGGAACAUCAACAUAUCCAAAAGACAAGUUUCAAUGAACAGAUUCUCAGCAAAAGGACUCUAAGGAUGCAGAGGAAGGGAAGUCACCCAAUCUGGGAAGGAGGUUUUUAUUAAGUAUAAAAACAGGUCAUCCACACAUAGCAAUGUGCUUUUCUAGAGAAAACCAUCCUACUCACCGAGAGCCAGGAUUGAGAUUACUCAGUCUCGGGUAUGUGUAUCAGCAAUGUGAAAACGGACUAGUACAUCUCUAGAGGCACAUGCCAUGUGGUCCAGCCAUAAUUAUUUGUUGUCACAACUAAGUUUCCUUUCUAUAUGAAAAGAUUAUAUUGAUC